AUUGAACGCUGGCGGCAGGCUUAACACAUGCAAGUCGAGCGGAGUGAUGGUGCUUGCACUAUCACUUAGCGGCGGACGGGUGAGUAAUGCUUAGGAAUCUGCCUAUUAGUGGGGGACAACAUCUCGAAAGGGAUGCUAAUACCGCAUACGUCCUACGGGAGAAAGCAGGGGAUCACUUGUGACCUUGCGCUAAUAGAUGAGCCUAAGUCGGAUUAGCUAGUUGGUGGGGUAAAGGCCUACCAAGGCGACGAUCUGUAGCGGGUCUGAGAGGAGGAUCCGCCACACUGGGACUGAGACACGGCCCAGACUCCUACGGGAGGCAGCAGUGGGGAAUAUUGGACAAUGGGGGGAACCCUGAUCCAGCCAUGCCGCGUGUGUGAAGAAGGCCUUAUGGUUGUAAAGCACUUUAAGCGAGGAGGAGGCUCUUUUGGUUAAUACCCAAGAUGAGUGGACGUUACUCGCAGAAUAAGCACCGGCUAACUCUGUACCAGCAGCCGCGGUAA
rnacentral:rRNA from 1 species